rnacentral:rRNA from 1 species
AAACUCGGCAAAUUGACACCGUAACUUCGGGAGAAGGUGUGCCGCUGGCGGUUAGUGACUUCGCGUCACGAAGCUGUUGGUGGUCGCAGUGAAAUGGCGGUUGUGACUGUUUACUAAAAACACAGGACUCUGCGAAGUCGUAAGACGACGUAUAGGGUCUGAUGCCUGCCCGGUGCUGGAAGGUCAGGGGGAUAUGUCAGCGCAAGCGAAGCAUUGAACCGAAGCCCCAGUAAACGGCGGCCGUAACAAUAACGGUCCUAAGGUAGCGAAAUUCCUUGUCGGGUAAGUUCCGACCUGCACGAAGGCAUAACAACAUCCGCACUGUCUCGACCAGGGACUCAGCGAAAUUACAUUGGGGGUGAAGAUGCCCUCUACCCGCGGAAAGACGGAAAGACCCCAUGAACCUUUACUGCAACUUGGCAGUGAUUUUCGGGUUGUUCUGCGUAGGAUAGGUGGGAGGCUUUGAAGCCGGGCUUCCGGGUUCGGCAGAGCCAACGUUGAAAUACCACCCUGAAUAAUCUGGAAAUCUAACCUGCGCCCAUGAUCUGGGCGAGGGACACUGCCUGGUGGGCAGUUUGACUGGGGCGGUCGCCUCCUAAAUUGUAACGGAGGCGUGCGACGGUUCCCUCAGGCUGAUUGGAAACCAGCCGUAGAGUGCAAACGCAUAAGGGAGCUUUACUGCGAGACUGACAAGUCGACCAGUUGCGAAAGCAGGUGUUAGUGAUCCGGUGGUACCACAUGGAAGGGCCAUCGCUCAUCGGAUAAAAGGUACUCUGGGGAUAACAGGCUGAUCGCGCCUGAGAGUUCACAUCGGCGGCGCGGUUUGACACCUCGAUGUCGGCUCAUCGCAUCCUGGGGCUGGAGCAGGUCCCAAGGGUUUGGCUGUUCGCCAAUUAAAGCGGUACUCGAGCUGGGUUUAAAACGUCGUGAGACAGUUUGGUCCCUAUCUUCCGUGGGCGCAGGACACUUGAGAGGAGCUAUCCAUAGUACGAGAGGACCUGGAUGGACGAACCUCUGGUGCUCCGGUUGUCACGCCAGUGGCAUAGCCGGGUAGCCAUGUUCGGACAGAUAACCGCUGAAGGCAUAUAAGCGGGAAGCUGGCCUCAAGACUAGGUGUCCCUGACGCAAGUCACUAAAGGCCCCUCGAAGACUACGAGGUUGAUAGGCUCGGUGUGGAAGCGCUGCGAGGCGCGGAGCUAACGAGUACUAAUAGGCCGUGAGGCUUGACCUC